rnacentral:rRNA from 1 species
CGACAAGCUGGAAAAGGGCGUAUGGGGAAUGCCUAGGCUCUCAGAGGCGAAGAAGGACGUGAUAAGCUGCGAAAAGCCGCGGGGAUCGGCACAUACGAUAUGAUCCGCGGAUAUCCGAAUGGGGCAACCCGGCAUGUUGAAGACAUGUCACGGCCGUAAGGCCGAGCGAACCCGGUGAACUGAAACAUCUAAGUAGCCGGAGGAAGAGAAAACAAAAGUGAUUCCGAUAGUAGCGGCGAGCGAAAUCGGAUUAGCCCAAACCGUUGUUGUUUCGGCAACAACGGGGUUGUAGGACCACGCUGUUCGAGUGUUGAUGAACUAGAACGCUUUGGAAAGAGCGGCCAUAGACGGUGAUAGCCCGGUAUAGGUAAAGAUGCAUUAGAUAGUGGUAUCCUGAGUAGUGCGGGGCACGUGAAACCCUGUAUGAAUCCGGCGGGACCAUCCGCCAAGGCUAAAUACUCCUGAGAGACCGAUAGUGAACCAGUACCGUGAGGGAAAGGUGAAAAGAACCGUGAACAACGGAGUGAAAUAGAUCCUGAAACCAUACGCCUACAAGCGGUCGGAGCCCUUCGGGGUGACGGCGUGCCUUUUGCAUAAUGAGCCUACGAGUUACUUUUACCGGCAAGGUUAAGUCCUUUAGGGACGGAGCCGCAGCGAAAGCGAGUCUUAAUAGGGCGCCAUAGUCGGUAGUAGUAGACGCGAAACCGUGCGAUCUACCCAUGGGCAGGCUGAAGCUGUGGUAACACAUAGUGGAGGGCCGAACCCGUUGACGUUGAAAAGUCUUGGGAUGACCUGUGGGUAGGGGUGAAAGGCCAAUCAAGCUCGGAAAUAGCUCGUACUCCCCGAAAUGCAUUUAGGUGCAGCGUGUUAUUAGUUUCAUAGAGGUAGAGCUACUGAUUGGAUGCGGGGGCUUCACCGCCUACCAAUUCCUGACAAACUCCGAAUGCUAUGAAACGAUGUAACGCAGUGAGGGCAUGGGUGCUAAGGUCCAUGUCCGAGAGGGAAAGAACCCGGACCAUCGGCUAAGGUCCCCAAAUAUAUGCUAAGUUGACAAAACGCGGUGGAACUGCAUUGACAGCCAGGAUGUUGGCUUGGAAGCAGCCAUUCAUUUAAAGAGUGCGUAACAGCUCACUGGUCGAGCGGUUCCGCAUGGAUAAUGAUCGGGCAUAAGCAUAUUACCGAAGCCAUGGGCCCGCAAGGGCGGUAGGGGAGCAUCGUGCCUGCGUCGAAGGGAUACCUGCGAGGGGUCCUGGAGCGUGCACGAACGAAAAUGUAGGCAUAAGUAACGAUAAUGCGGGCGAGAAACCCGCACGCCGAAAGACCAAGGUUUCCCCAGCUAUGCUAAUCAGCUGGGGGUCAGUCGGGACCUAACGCGAACCCGAAAGGGGCAGUGGAUGGACAACGGGUUAAUAUUCCCGUACCCGCACAUCGCCAAAAGUGACGGAGGCGAGAAGUUGGUGCGUGCAGACGGAAUUGCACGUUGAAGGGAGCGGCAACGCCCCGAUAGUACGCCGAGGCUACGGCCAAGGCGAUAAUCCAGCGUAUCGACUUCCAAGAAAAGCGAGAUGUGCGGCCCGUACCGUAAACCGACACAGGUGGUCGGGAUGAGUAUUCUAAGGCGCUCGAGAGAUUCAUGGCUAAGGAACUAGGCAAAAUAGACCCGUAACUUCGGGAGAAGGGUCGCCCCCCUCCGGGGGGGCCGCAGUGAAGAGGUCCAGGCGACUGUUUAUCAAAAACACAGGGCUCUGCAAAUUCGAGAGAAGAAGUAUAGGGCCUGACACCUGCCCGGUGCCGGAAGGUUAAGAGGAGAUGUCAUUCCUUCGGGGAGAAGCAUUGAAUUGAAGCCCCGGUAAACGGCGGCCGUAACUAUAACGGUCCUAAGGUAGCGAAAUUCCUUGUCGGGUAAGUUCCGACCUGCACGAAUGGUGCAACGAUCUGGACACUGUCUCGGCCAUGAGCUCGGUGAAAUUGUAGUAUCGGUGAAGAUGCCGGUUACCCGCAGUGGGACGAAAAGACCCCGUGCACCUUUACUAUAGCUUCGUAUUGACCUUGGUCAAACAAUGUGUAGGAUAGCUGGGAGGAUUUGAAGCGGCGUCGCCAGGCGUUGUGGAUCCGUUGUUGAAAUACCAGCCUUUGUUUGAUCGGGGCCUAACCCUCAUAAGAGGGAACAGUGCG